AGAGUUUGAUCCUGGCUCAGGAUGAACGCUGGCGGCGUGCCUAAUACAUGCAAGUCGAGCGGUAAGGCCCCUUCGGGGGUACACGAGCGGCGGACGGCUGAGUAACACGUAGGAACGUACCCCAAAGUGAGGGAUAAGCACCAGAAAUGGUGUCUAAUACCGCAUGUGGCCUUCGGGCUAAAGCUUUAUGCGCUUUGGGAGCGGCCUGCGCAUGAUUAGCUUGUUGGUGAGGUAAUAGCUCACCAAGGCGACGAUCAUUAGCUGGUCUGAGAGGAUGAUCAGCCAGACUGGGACUGAGACACGGCCCAGACUCCUACGGGAGGCAGCAGUAGGGAAUUUUCCACAAUGGGCGAAAGCCUGAUGGAGCAACGCCGCGUGCAGGAUGAAGGCCCUUGGGUCGUAAACUGCUUUUAUAUGUGACGAUUAUGACGGUAGCAUAUGAAUAAGGGUCGGCUAACUCCGUGCCAGCAGCCGCGGUCAUACGGAGGAUCCAAGCGUUAUCCGGAAUUACUGGGCGUAAAGAGUUGCGUAGGUGGCAUUGUAAGCAAGUAGUGAAAGCGUUCGGCUCAACCGAAUAAACAUUACUUGAACUGCAAAGCUAGAGGAUGAGAGAGGUUAUUGGAAUUCCCUGUGUAGGAGUGAAAUCCGUAGAUAUAAGGGAGGAAACACCGAUGGCGUAGCAGAUAACUGGCUCAUUCCUGACACUAAAGCACGAAAGCGUGGGUAGCAAACGGGAUUAGAUACCCCGGUAGUCCACGCCGUAAACUAUGGGA
rnacentral:rRNA from 1 species